rnacentral:tRNA from 1 species
CAGAUAGCUCAGUCGGUAGAGCAGAGGAUUGAAAAUCCUCGUGUCGGCGGUUCGACUCCGUCUCUGGG